UACGUAGGGUGCAAGCGUUGUCCGGAAUUAUUGGGCGUAAGAGCUCGUAGGCGGUCUGUCGCGUCUGCUGUGAAAACUCAGGGCUUAACCCUGAGCUUGCAGUGGGUACGGGCAGACUAGAGUGCGGUAGGGGAGACUGGAAUUCCGUGGUGAUAGCGGUGAAAUGCGCAGAUAUCGAGGAGGAACACCGGUGGCGAAGGCGGGUCUCUGGGCCGAUAACUGACACU
rnacentral:rRNA from 1 species